rnacentral:rRNA from 1 species
UACGGAGGGUGCAAGCGUUGCUCGGAAUUAUUGGGCGUAAGGGGUAGGUAGGUGGUCUCAUUUGUCUGGGGUGAAAGCCUUGAGCUUAACUCAAGAAGUGCCCCAGAAACGGUGAGACUAGAGUCCUGGAGAGGGUCGUGGAAUUCCCGGUGUAGCGGUGAAAUGCGUAGAGAUCGGGAGGAACACCAGAGGCGAAGGCGGCGACCUGGACAGGCACUGACACUCAACUACGAAAGCGUGGGGAGCAAACAGG